CAACUUUCAACAACGGAUCUCUUGGCUCUCGCAUCGAUGAAGAACGCAGCGAAAUGCGAUAAGUAAUGUGAAUUGCAGAAUUCAGUGAAUCAUCGAAUCUUUGAACGCACCUUGCGCUCCUUGGUAUUCCGAGGAGCAUGCCUGUUUGAGUAUCGUG
rnacentral:rRNA from 1 species